rnacentral:rRNA from 1 species
GAUGAACGCUAGCGGCAGGCCUAACACAUGCAAGUCGAGGGGUAACUAGAGUGAUAGCAAUAUUACUUUGGCUAGACCGGCGCACGGGUGCGUAACACGUAUGCAACCUACCUUAUACUGGGGAAUAACUUCGAGAAAUCGGCGCUAAUACCCCAUAACAUUGCGAAGAGGCAUCUCUUUGCAAUUAAAGCUCCGGCGGUAUAAGAUGGGCAUGCGGCCAAUUGGCUAGUUGGUGAGGUAACGGCUCACCAAGGCUACGAUUGGUAGGGGUUCUGAGAGGAUGAUCCCCCACACUGGUACUGAGACACGGACCAGACUCCUACGGGAGGCAGCAGUGAGGAAUAUUGCGCAAUGGACGAAAGUCUGACGCAGCCAUGCCGCGUGUAGGAUGACGGCCCUAUGGGUUGUAAACUGCUUUUGUACGGGAAUAAACCCUUCUACGUGUAGGAGGCUGAAGGUACCGUAAGAAUAAGCACCGGCUAACUCCGUGCCAGCCGCCGCAGUAACAC